UGAGGAAGUGAUAGAAUGAGUGAGAAAUUGUGUUCAAGCAAGUAGAAAAAUAUUUGCAGCUCAAUUUUCAGAGAAACCAAAAAUAUGUUUUCAAGAAGAUGUUUGUGGUUAGAAAUAUCAGAUAUCUCACAGAUCAAGUAGGAUGAGAACUGAGAAAAGAUCAUUGAAUUUAUAGUCUAUGUAAAUCAGUGAAAAUAAAAACAAGUAGUUGAAGAAAAAGUGAAAAGCAAUGAGAAGUGAUUGUGGUCUGUUUUAAUGUUUAGAGAUUAAAGGAUAAGUAAAGUACAUAGUAGUUGGAAGGACACCAGAGUCAAGGGAAAAUUUUUCUAAGAGACAUGAAAUGAAAUGAAAAGUGUUUAAAUUAAGAAGACUGGUGACAAAAGAUUGAGACAAAAAAGAGAAAAGAAGGACAAAUGUCAGAAAUACUAGAAAAAGAUAAAGCAAAUGUGGAUAGAAUCAAAAGUGAGGGAAGUCUUGGACUUAGAGUAUAGAAAAAGCAUUUCAUCUUUUGUGAUGAAUUUGAAAAAAGAAUGAAGAUUCAAAAAAAUUUUUAAUGAAAAGAAAGUAGAGGGAAGAUAGGUCCAAUGAGUUCAGUUCAGUGAAAGUAGGAGGCAAAAUCAUCUGCUGAAAGAUACUGAUAAAUCUGGAUCCAAAUGGGGAAUGCAAAAAAUAUUUGGAAAAUGUUUAACAGAUUAUAUUUAAGAGUUUAAAUAAAUUAUAUUUAGGCAAUUUUUAAAAGUACAGAAGUUAGGAAAGUCCCAUUUUGAAGUCCCUUGGUGAAAGGAAAAGAUACUAGGGAAUAGACAGAAUAAUGGUCCCAAAGAUUUCCAGGAUCUAAUCUCUGGAACCUGUGAAUGUUACCUUAUUUGGCAGAAGGGACUUGCAGAUGUGAUUGAGGAUCUUGAGAUGGGGAGAUUAUCCGAUAUUAUCAUGGCUGGCCCUAAAUGUAAUCACAAGUGUCCUUAUAAGAGGAAGACAGAGAGAGAUUAAAGCAUUGGGAAACUAACAAAGGGAGUAAACCUGGAAAUUCAAGGCAAUAAAUAUGUCUAUUUCUGAAGUAAUUACCUGUACACGCUGUAAAUGUUGGAUAUAUUUUAGGCAUAAUUUCUCAGUUCCAUUCCUUGGAUAGUCUUAAUACUCCCAUGCUUUUACCUAAAUAUUCAUUUUCAUUUCUGGUUCAAGCCUUGAGGGUACUCACUUAUGAACUGCCCAUAUUGUUAAAGACAAUGAAGAGGGCAUUUUUAAAUAACUUUUAAGGAAAGUGUAAUGAAAUGCCUUUAAAAAAAAAAUGAUCACUGGAAUUUGUUUGCCUUUGUCCCAGUAAAACCUCAGCAGUUCUUUACUCAAAAAGAGGAUAAACAUUUUCACCAAGAUGGCGACGAAAGCAGACUUGAUCCAUAUGCUUCCCGUGCACCAUCGCCUUCAGAUGUUAGAGUAAAGGAUGAUGUUAGGUCAGCUCACGUACUUAAUUGUGUUUUCAUAUAAGUGCAGCUUGCAACACUGAAGGUAACAUAAAAAUAAACACUUCUAGCAGUUCUGAAAAUGACUUGAAUGUUAUUGUGGACAUGUACAAAUUGGACUUCUGGUUUAUUUCUUUCCUUUCAGAGAGCAACUCUUACAUAUCUUAAACAUACUCCUUAUCUCCCUCCCACCAGACUAGCAGACUAGAUAUGGUUCCCUCCCCGUAGCCUGCUCUCUCCAGUAGCUGCCUUCAUUCCAGUUGAAAGGAACUUUCUGGCAGCUCAUUGGCCCAAGAGUAAGGAAAUGGUUGCUUAGCAACCAAAUCCUGACCCCUGCAAACCUGUAAAGAGGAAACUUGUGGGCCAGCCACCUAGUUCUGCCUGUGUUAUAAGUAAGGAGGAACUGCUUAUGAGAAGAUGAAGCCCCUGUCCCUGUUAAUAGAGAUAUUGAUCAUUCUUGGGGUCAUAAUUAAAAGAUGUCGAUUAAAGUACUUAGAUUGUCUCUGGUGGAAAGUUACAUCUUUAAAAAUUAUCAGUGAAGGAAUUAUUUUGUACCACAAUGCUGAUAUCGAAGCAGAAAAGCAUAAUAAAAAGCAAAAGGAAAGAAAUGUCACCACACAGGUAUCAGUUAACGAAGUCAAGCGACUUUUAUCACAUAUAUUGGAACGAAGAAAAUUGAUUAAAGUAAUCUAUCAAAGAGAAAAUGCCUUAGGAAAAAAGAAGAUUCAACGUAAAUUAAGAAUAAGAGGAAUUCAAAAUAAAGAUCUCUCAAAAAGAAAUAAAAAUCAUUUAAGAAAGCAAGCAAAGAAAAAUUUCACAGAUGAAGGAGACCAGCUGUUUAAGAUGGGCAUCAAGAUUCUCCAGCAGUCUAAAAGCCAAAAACAAAAAGCAGAAGCCUAUGUAUUCUUUGCCAAAGCAGCUAACAUGGGAAACUUGAAAGCUAUGGAGAAAAUGGCCGAUGCUUUGCUAUUUGGAAAUUUUGGUAUGCAAAACAUAACAGCAGCUAUCCAAUUAUAUGAGUCCUUGGCUAAAGAAGGAUCAUAUAAAGCCCAAAACGCAUUAGGAUUUUUGUCUUCUUAUGGAAUAGGAAUGGAAUACAAUCAAGCCAAGGCACUAAUAUAUUACACCUUUGGAAGUGCUGGAGGAAGCAUGAUGUCCCAAAUGAUUUUGGGGUACAGAUAUUUGUCAGGAAUCAAUGUUCUACAGAAUUGUGAAGUUGCCCUAAAUCAUUACAAGAAGGUAGCAGAUUACAUUGCUGACAAAUUGGAAAAAAGUGAAAGUAUUCCAGUGGAAAAAGUGAGACUGACUGACAGACCUGAAAAUCUGAGUUCUAACAGUGAGAUUUUAGAUUGGGACAUAUACCAAUACUAUAAAUUUUUGGCAGAAAGAGGAGAUGUUCAGAUACAGGUUUCUCUUGGACAAUUACAUCUAAUUGGGAGGAAAGGUCUGGAUCAGGAUUAUUAUAAAGCAUUAUACUACUUCUUAAAGGCCGCAAAGGCUGGGAGUGCAAAUGCCAUGGCAUUUAUAGGAAAGAUGUAUUUAGAGGGGAACGCUGCAGCCCCACAAAAUAACGCAACUGCCUUCAAAUACUUUUCCAUGGCAGCCAGUAAGGGCAAUGCAAUUGGUCUUCAUGGGCUUGGUCUUCUUUACUUUUAUGGGAAAGGAGUUCCUGUGAAUUAUGCUGAAGCACUUAAAUACUUUCAGAAAGCUGCAGAGAAAGGAUGGCCCAACGCACAGUUUCAGUUAGGCUUCAUGUACUACUCUGGCUCUGGAGUAUGGAAGGAUUAUAAACUUGCCUUCAAAUAUUUUUACUUGGCAUCUCAGAGUGGGCAGCCCCUCGCCAUUUAUUAUCUGGCCGAGAUGUACGCAACAGGAACAGGAGUGUUAAGAUCGUGCAGAACUGCUGUGGAGCUUUAUAAAGGUGUCUGUGAACUAGGCCACUGGGCUGAGAAAUUCCUGACAGCAUACUUUGCCUAUAAGGAUGGUGAUAUAGAUUCUUCUCUUGUUCAGUAUGCACUGCUUGCAGAAAUGGGGUAUGAAGUAGCUCAAAGCAAUUCAGCAUUCAUUUUGGAAUCUAAAAAGGUUAAAAUUCUUGAAAAAGAGAAGAUGUAUCCAAUGGCACUUCUCCUAUGGAAUCGAGCUGCCAUUCAAGGCAAUGCAUUCGCUAGAGUAAAAAUUGGAGAUUACCAUUACUAUGGCUACGGGACUAAGAAGGACUAUCAAACAGCAGCCACACAUUACAGCAUUGCAGCCGACAAAUACCACAGCGCUCAAGCCAUGUUUAAUCUGGCCUAUAUGUAUGAACAUGGCUUAGGUAUCGCAAAGCCUGGGGGCAAGGAUGACACAGGGUCAACUGUGCACCAGAGAGGACACUGCCUACCAGAGCCCAGAUGGCCCACUGUAUCAGAAGGACAUUCACUUGGCCAGGAGAUUGUAUGAUAUGGCUGCUCAAACAAGUCCAGAUGCUCACAUACCUGUUUUCUUUGCCCUCAUGAAACUGGAAACUGUGCAUUUGCUCCAAGAUAUCCUGUUUUUUAAACAGUUUACGAUGUGUUGGAAAUGGAUGAAAUUGGACAACACCCUUGGACCAUACUGGGAUUUAUUUGUGAUUGGCCUAAUUGUUGCUGUGCUGAUCUUCUUGCUUAGAAAUCGCUAUGGGUAGAAUCUGGACCACAGCAAAACCUGCUCAUGGGAACAGUUCACUUCAAACUAUCCUUGCUAAAUAAAACAUUUCCUCAUGAAA